rnacentral:lncRNA from 1 species
CUCCAGGAUCAACCACUUUAAUAACUAGUGAGAAACUGAAAGGGUAGCCACAGGAAAAACAGCUAAGAUUUUAUAGUAAUUGACAGGCUUUCACAGAAAUAGAAUUUGUGUCGCUUUAACUGACCAGUGAAAACAAUUGAUUCAUUUAGUUAAAAUGUCAGUCAAACCAGUUAUUUUAACAGUUGGCAGUGGUUAAGAAUGAAAUUAGUCAAAUCCGUUGAAAGGACAGGCAGGAAUUUAGAGAAGUCUCUCAAUCCCCAUCAAUAAUGAAAAACUGAAGGGAAUUCCUUAGUGUGGCACAGCAAGCAGAGCUAUGGGUAUGGGCUCGUACCUUUAAACACUGACUUUUCAAUACGGAAAACUGACUGACAAAUACAAAGAAGAUGCUAAAAACACUUCAAAGCAACAUAAUGAUUAUGAGAAAAGAGUAGGCCAGUUAGAUGAUUAAAAAGUUUCUAUCUCAGCAGAAAUAUUUAUGGAUUUGAAGAAUGAAAGUAUGAAAUGUAUCCUAAUGGGAAGAUGAAUGUUCACACUCAUAGUCUGUGUUUGUCAGUCACCAGUGGUCUCAGCUUGCCCAGGACUGCCCCCUGAAGGAGGAAACGGCAACCCGCUCCAGUGUUCUUGCAGGGAAAAUCCCAUGCACAGAAGAGCCUGGAAGGCUACAGUCCAUGGGUUCAGAUAUAACUGAGUGACUAAGCAUACAAGAUCCAGUGUAGCAUAGAAAGUCCUACACACACACACACACACAC